GAUGAACGCUGACAGAAUGCUUAACACAUGCAAGUCUACUUGAUCCUUCGGGUGAUGGUGGCGGACGGGUGAGUAACGCGUAAAGAACUUGCCCUGCAGUCUGGGACAACAUUUGGAAACGAAUGCUAAUACCGGAUAUUAUGUGAGUUUCGCAUGAAAUUCAUAUGAAAGCUAUAUGCGCUGCAGGAGAGCUUUGCGUCCUAUUAGCUAGUUGGUGAGGUAACGGCUCACCAAGGCGAUGAUAGGUAGCCGGCCUGAGAGGGUGAACGGCCACAAGGGGACUGAGACACGGCCCUUACUCCUACGGGAGGCAGCAGUGGGGAAUAUUGGACAAUGGACCAAAAGUCUGAUCCAGCAAUUCUGUGUGCACGAUGAAGUUUUUCGGAAUGUAAAGUGCUUUCAGUUGGGACGAAGUAAGUGACGGUACCAACAGAAGAAGCGACGGCUAAAUACGUGCCAGCAGCCGCGGUAAUACGUAUGUCGCAAGCGUUAUCCGGAUUUAUUGGGCGUAAAGCGCGUCUAGGCGGUUUGGUAAGUCUGAUGUGAAAAUGCGGGGCUCAACUCCGUAUUGCGUUGGAAACUGCCAAACUAGAGUACUGGAGAGGUGGGCGGAACUACAAGUGUAGAGGUGAAAUUCGUAGAUAUUUGUAGGAAUGCCGAUGGGGAAGCCAGCCCACUGGACAGAUACUGACGCUAAAGCGCGAAAGGGUGGGUAGCAAACAGG
rnacentral:rRNA from 1 species